AUUGAACGCUGGCGGAAUGCUUUACACAUGCAAGUCGAGUGGCAGCACGGGGGCAACCCUGGUGGCGAGCGGCGAACGGGUGAGUAAUACAUCGGAACAUGCCCAGUCGUGGGGGCUAACACUUCGAAAGAAGUGCUAAUACCGCAUACGUCCUGAGGGAGAAAGCGGGGGAUCUUCGGACCUCGCGCGAUUGGAGUGGCCGAUGUCAGAUUAGCUAGUUGGUGGGGUAAAGGCCUACCAAGGCAACGAUCUGUAGCUGGUCUGAGAGGAUGAUCAGCCACACUGGGACUGAGACACGGCCCAGACUCCUACGGGAGGCAGCAGUGGGGAAUUUUGGACAAUGGGGGCAACCCUGAUCCAGCCAUUCCGCGUGAGUGAAGAAGGCCUUCGGGUUGUAAAGCUCUUUCGGCAGGAACGAAACGGCGAGCUCUAACAUAGCUUGCUAAUGACGGUACCUGAAGAAGAAGCACCGGCUAACUACGUGCCAGCCGCCGCAGUAAUAC
rnacentral:rRNA from 1 species